UACGUAGGGUGCAAGCGUUGUCCGGAAUUAUUGGGCGUAAAGAGCUCGUAGGCGGUCUGUCGCGUCUGCUGUGAAAACUCAGGGCUUAACCCUGAGCUUGCAGUGGGUACGGGCAGACUAGAGUGCGGUAGGGGAGACUGGAAUUCCUGGUGUAGCGGUGAAAUGCGCAGAUAUCAGGAGGAACACCGAUGGCGAAGGCAGCUCACUGGGACGGUACUGACGCUGAGGCGCGAAAGCGUGGGGAGCAAACAGG
rnacentral:rRNA from 1 species